GCCACAGUUGGCCUGGGGGAGACUGAUGGAAGCAAAGCUGCCAAUCUGUGACACCGGCCCUCCUGAACAUUUACAACCACACAACAUUCAGUCACAGGAAGCCAGAGUGAGAGGAAAGUGCCGCAAGGGUCAACUGAGAACAACCAGCCUUGUGUUUCUUUCAUUGAAGACAUGACAUCACUGAGCGACAAAGCUAGGAGGGCACCCACGUUAGCCCCACCCCUCACCCCUCGUGGGCACUGAAGCUUUUGUACAUACUUCUAGUGGAGAUGGCAUUUGGAAUGGUCAUGAUGGCAUCAAUGUCAACAAACUACCUCACAAGCUCCAGAUGUUUCUGGACCACACAAUACAGUUUAAAAGAACCUGGGUAUAUAGAGCCUUAACCUACAUAAGAGGACACAUUUUACUCAUUCUCAGAAGACGUCUCUCAUGUGAAAGCUCAGAUCCU